GUGCGGCACCCAGAGGCCGUCCUGUAGCCGGGCCGGCUUGGGGCUUGGUUCUAUGUCCCUGCGGGUCGGUGCAAGGGCGAAGAGGAACCCGUGGGCCUCAGGGGAUCCCGGGGGGCCGGACCAGUGUUCCCUAGUUGUGGGAGCAGACGCGUGGGCACAUUGCGGGCGGGCAGGGCCUGAAGUGCAGCUAUGUUUCCAGUGUCCUCUGGGUGUUUCCAAGAGCAACAAGAAAUGAAUAAAUCUCUGUUGAAGAGAUACCAUUUGACAUUUUAGAGAUGGCUGCAUGCAAACUCUUGAAACAUUUGACUUGUCCAAAUGUUCCAUUGGUCCCUGUUCAUCCCGCCCUGCAGCUCUCCUUGACUGAUUCUGCCCUUUGUGGUUUGCAGUCCUGUUUCUCUACAGCUUGGACCCCUUCAAUCUUUCCAUCAUAGGUUUAACUCUCUGUUGAAUUCUUAUUUGUAGCUACGCAAAUGUUACCUUAAGCUAAAAAAAUUCAAAGUGAAAGCCACAUCCUCCUCUCUUCCCUUAUGUGUAUGGUAUUACUACCAUGCAGCCAGUGACCCAAAAUGGGAUUUUUUCUGGGCUUUUCUUGCUUAGAUUCAGGCUCAUCUGGUGUCAAGCCUUGUUACUUUUGUUUCCUUGUUCUUUUAUUUUUAAUUUUUUUUCUUUUGAGACAGAGUUUCACUCUUGUUGCCCAGG
rnacentral:lncRNA from 1 species